AUUGAACGCUGGCGGCAGGCCUAACACAUGCAAGUCGAACGAGUGGCGGACGGGUGAGUAAUGUCUGGGAAACUGCCCGAUGGAGGGGGAUAACUACUGGAAACGGUAGCUAAUACCGCAUACCAUAGGAUGUGCCCAGAUGGGAUUAGCUUGUGGGUGAGGUAACGGCUCACCUAGGCGACGAUCCCUAGCUGGUCUGAGAGGAUGACCAGCCACACGGGAAUUGGGACACGGUCCAGACCCCUACGGGAGGCAGCAGUGGGGAAUAUUGGACAAUUGGCGAAAGCCUGAUCCAGCCAUGCCGCUUGUGUGAAGAAGGUCUUCGGAUUGUAAAGUACUUUAAGUUGGGAGGCGUUACCAACAGAAUAAGCACCGGCUAACUUCGUGCCAGCAGCCGCGGUAAUAC
rnacentral:rRNA from 1 species